ACAGUGAGAAUGAAAUCGGAGGGAUCGAAAGCUCUGUUAUGGUCAAGAGGAGCUAGUCGGGUCUCACCCAGUCGAAUUCGCUCACCAAUCGAUGAGAAAGAUACAAGAGGCCAUGAGAAUCUUGAACAACACUUAUGGAACUGGUUCUCGAUGAUGACAGAUUUUGAAAGGCAAAUGCUUUUGAUCAGAGAGCAAGCUGGACAACAUUGCAUUGAGGUUUUGUGUUUGUGUUUGUGUUUGUGAUGCAAUUCUAUUAUGUGACAUUAUUAGCAGUUGCAUCUUUCGAUAGAAAAGUUGAGUAACUAUAUUACUUGUAAUAUACUGGUGUCAUCAACCUUUGUAAUUGUAUUCCCUGAUAUUGAAAUGUCAAGUUAUAUCAUUUUCUGUAUAGUGGAGUGACAUUUGAGUGUUCAUGUGGUCUGUUAUUUGAAAUGGUUGCAGAUUUCAAAGGCCUACUAAUAUCGUUCCUUCUUCAAUGCUGGGGAUUGGAUUCUCUGACUUGAGACUCGGAUUAUUUUGGUCUUGAAGAUUACCAGAAUGAUCCUCGUGAAUGAGAGAAGGUCCAGACAUUAGACGAUUAUCAAGCAAUAUUGGAAGAUCAAGUUGGACUCUCUAAGGGUGUAGUUGCCCCUAGUUUUUACAUAAAGAAUAGGGAAUGAUGGAUUAGUAACAUUGUGAUAUUGUCAUUUGGGUGUAUGUAACUAUGUUUAUGUUGCUUUUAAAUAUGCAAAUUCAGAAACCUCGUUUGAGUUUUCUUUUAAAUAUACAUGUACUUCGUAAUCAAAAUGAAAUACAUGUACUUUCUAAGGGUCCAUCUUCUCUUCCAAAUUGAUGUAUUCAAUAAUAUUAUUUCGUCCAUUAAAGUUUUGCUUGGAGAAAA